UACGGAGGAUGCGAGCGUUAUCCGGAUUCAUUGGGUUUAAAGGGUGCGUAGGCGGAACGAUAAGUCAGUGGUGAAAGUUUGUGGCUCAACCAUAAAAUUGCCUUUGAUACUGUCGUUCUUGAGUACAUUUGAGGUAGGCGGAAUGUGAUGUGUAGCGGUGAAAUGCUUAGAUAUAUCACAGAACACCGAUUGCGAAGGCAGCUUACUAAACUGUAACUGACGCUGAUGCACGAAAGCGUGGGGAUCGAACAGG
rnacentral:rRNA from 1 species